GUUGGUUUUGCUCCUACGGGUUUUUUAGCAUGCAAGAUUUCCCACAUCUUUUUUACAACUAGUUUUACAAUCAAACUAAUGAAAUCACAUCAUUUCAUUGAAAAUUUUAUUUUAAUUUUACAAAACUAAAGUUGAUUCACAUAAAGUUGAGA